rnacentral:misc_RNA from 1 species
GUUAAUUGAGUACAAUGAACAAAACUGCUACUCAGAUAUCAAUGAAAGAACUAUUUUCCUAGAUCCUCACAAGAAUAAGGAAAAUUGUUGAUAUCACUUUUUGCAGAAUGCUUGGAUUCAAAAUUUGGUGUAUCCAAGUAAUGUCAGAGAUGCAUUUAUGAGAUAAGGAGUCAAUAUUAAUUCAUAUAAGCCUCUGAAAAUGACCGCAAAUGGUACAUUGGUCAACAUUGUCAUUUCAUGACUCAUGAACCUUUUAGCUUUAAAC